UACACCACAAAAAAAAAAUAAAAAAAUAAAAAAUAACAACAAAUAUUAUCCGCCUCCCUUUUUCUGCUUUCUUCGUUAUCAUCCUCUCUCUUUCUCUCUUCUGAUCAAUCAAAAACAAUAAAACCUUUGUCUAAUUUCCUGGAUAUUAUUAUAUUAACACAAACUGGUAGCUAGAAUAACGAAUCCUGGGCUUUGUUUGCAAGCUGUUGAUUUGCGUAUGGAAAUCAUUAAAAGGUUAUACGAGGUUCAGUUUGUGUUACAACAUCCAUACGAAAACACGAUGUUCUUGCUUUACAGAUCUUUGAUUGAUAUAUGGAGUUAAACAAGGGAUAUAUGUAACAACAUUCAUACCAAAACACGAUGUUCAUGCUUUCUUUGAUUGAUAUAUGGAGUUAAACAAAGCUUCAGUAGCAUGGAGUGUGCUUCCCUCUAGCAAAAAUCAGUGUUAAAACAAUACACACAACAAUUUUGUGCUUAACAAUAUGGUUAUUACUUUACCUUAACAUUUUGUUUUUAAUACAAUCUAAAACUACGUUGCUGAAAUCGGUAUACCAGUCCAACUUUCGAGCCUUCUUCACCAAGUUCAUCAAUUGCUGAAAAUUCCCACUUGCAGUCGUGUAUUUUUAUAAAAAAAUGUUUAUCAAUUAAACAUUUCUAAAAUUGAAAAAAUGGAGAGUUCAUCUGUUGAAGGUUAUACCAUCAUGUUUAUUAUUGUUUUUGAGUUAAUUAGUUUUAUCCCCUAACUCUUCACAAAGUUGAAAUGACCAACUGUUAAAGUUUAUAUCAACUGACUUAGAAUUAUCACACUAUCCUCUCCACUAUCAUCUUUCAUAAUCUGUUUUCCUUUUUCGAAGUUUGGGAGGUCGUUUUACGCCUCUGCCAUUGUCAGAAAUCAUCUGUUUUGUUUAGACCUCGUUUUCUCCAUUCUUGAUAUGCUUCCUUGAUGUCGUCUUCUGUUGUAGAGCUUUGCAUCAUGGAGAUGAUUUUGCUACUAGCAGCUUCCUUGUUAAUGACGUGCUUCAAGGAUUGUUUCUCCUAGCUGUGGUGAAGUUGCAACAACCAACUUGGCUUUGUGAGCUCACUAAAUACACUUAAAUUAUAUUGCACAAAUUUAACCAAUUAAAGUUAAAAAUUCUGAAGUAAUGGAAGAUUUCAGCUUGUGUAAUAUAAUUUAAGUGUAUUUAGUGUGCUCACAAAGCCAAGUUGGUUGUUGCAGCUUCGCUACAGCCAGGAGAAACAAUCCAUGAUGGUAUAACCUUCAACAGAUGAACUCUCCUUUUUUUUGAUUUUGAAAUGUUUAAUUGAUAAUUUUUUAUUUAUAGAAAUACAUGACUGCAAGUGGAAAUUUUCAGCAAUUGAUGAACUUGGUGAAGAAGCUUCGGAAGUUGGACCGGUAUACGGGUUUCAACAACUUAGUUUUAUAUUGUAUUAAAAACAAAAUGUUAAGGUAAAGUAAUAACCAUAUUGUUAAGCACACAAAAUUGUUUUGUGUAUUGUUUUAAUACUGAUUUUUGCUACGGGAAGCACACUCCAUGCUACCGGGGCUGGAGAAAAAGGGAUUGAACUAAAUCAAAUAUUUCUGGAGGUAACUAAUGAAAAUAAUGCAUAUUUAUACAUGAUAUUGAAAACUAAAUCAAAUUAAUUGUUUGGAAGUGUCAGAUUUUUGCUAUCAAGGCUAGACUUGGGGACAUUAAAUUUUCCUUAAAUUUAUAUAAUACUAUUGAGAGCCAUCUAGAAAUCUACACCAGGCGUAAGGUUCUAAACUAUCUAUAGUCAUCAGCGGCAGUUGAAAAAGAUGCAAGUGCGGGAAACAGUUCUAUAUUGUGUAUAUCUUAUCAAACAGUUCUAAAGUUGAAGUAGAGGACAAUGAAAUGGCUUCUGUCAUAACAACUAAUGAAUGCAAUAAUCAGGGAUAAACGCAUUUUCAAUGGAGUGUGUCAUAUUAGAGGAUUGAAUGAACUCUUUAAACGAAAGGAUGUGAGCAGAGUGGUAGAAACUUGAGAAAAUGGGUUCAAUAGCAAUGCUGAACAGUUUCAGAAAAGUAGCACUUGACCACGAGAUCUCGCUUGUUUUAAUAACUGAUAUUCGUGUAACUGUUUUGAUAGCACAUUGAUGAUUUUAGUUUGGUAGGGCAUGUUUUUUAUUUUAUUUGGUACAUCGUGAAUUGUAUAUUUUGACAGUUCUUCGUUAACCAGUUUCCUUGA